rnacentral:tRNA from 1 species
GGAAGCGUGGCCGAGCGGUUGAAGGCAGCAGUCUUGAAAACUGCAGUACCGGAAACGGUACCGAAGGUUCGAAUCCUUCCGCUUCCG